rnacentral:rRNA from 1 species
AGUCACUGACAUUAGACUACCCGGGUAGUCCCAGCCGUAAACUAUGCGCGUUAGGUGUACUGGUGACCACGAGUCACCGGGGUGCCGAAGGGAAACCGUGAAACGUGCCGCCUGGGAAGUACGGUCGCAAGGCUAGAAACUUAAAGGAAUUGGCGGGGGAGCACCACAACGGGUGGAGCCUGCGGUUUAAUUGGACUCAACGCCGGAAAUCUCACCGGAUAGGACAGACAUAUGAUAGUCGGGCUGAAGACUCUACUUGAUGAUCUG